UCCGCUAUACGCCACGGACAGAGAAGUCAGCCUGUUGUGUGUUUUUAUUCGUAAACGUUAAAUAUCAAACGGUAAUUCUGAUUCAUAAAUAUUUAAUCAGGGUUGAAAUGAGCGUCAUAGGAUUAAUAUCUGGAUUUGACUUCUCAUCUAGCAAAGCUCCUGUUGAUAAAACUACCCGUUAACGCGAACCAGCUGUAGCUUCAUAGCUCGCAUGUGCUUUUAGCAACGCGGGUGUAUCUACAUACACGAGCGUAGCCCUUGAUCUUGCCAUUCCAUUAAAUUACACAUAAAUCAUUGGACGUGGGGGGAGUUUUGUCUGAACAUUAAUACGCGUCGCUUGCAUCGCAUCGGUUUUGAAAGCAUAAGGACCUUUCAUAUCGGUGAUUAAAUAUAUAUUUUUAAACAUGGAUAAAUUGAUGCUCAUUGAUUUGGGUUCACACGCGGUCAUAUUUCCAUUUUACAGAGCUUGUUCACAGAAAUAAUACGGAAGAGUGGACUACCUGUACCAGUUCGCUAUCUGCGUCUCUGAACACCUGUGUGUAAACGGAAGACAGACGCAACAAACGUGUUGUCACAGAAAAGUAAUGUCUGCUGCACCAGUGUUAAACCAGUGCAGCACAGGAGGUUGGUGGCACCUUAAUUGGGGAGGACGGGCUCGUGGUAAUGGGUGGUGUGGAAUAUUAUCAAAUACGUCAAACUUGUUUGAUGCCAACAUGUCUACAUACAGGGAGUACCAGGUAAUAACAUGGCUAUAUACAGGGAGUACCAGUACCGAGUCAAUGUGCAGGGGUAUGAAGUAAUUGAGAUUGCUAGUGUGAAAGUGUGUGUGAGUUAGUUACACAUGAUUAUGAGCCGCCCUCCCCUCAGCAGCCUCCACUGCUGACUAAGUGUAUAUUUUUAUGUUUGUAUAAUUAUUUUGAUGUGAUAUGAAAGUACAAUGAUUUAUGUUUCUAGAAUCAUACUGCAAUUGAUUCAUGUUUAGAUGGAGUAUUUGGCUGUUUUGGCUUCCAGUGGCAAUUCCCCCAUUAAACAGAACAUGUAAGGUCACUGGACUAAGGAACAACAUUAGGCACCUUUAGUCCAAUAUUGUGCUAACGCAAGAGUUGCUUUCAAUUGUAUUCAGAGCACAAAACAGCCCGUGGGAAGUUAAAUACUAUUCCAUUUCAAUUUAUUGUGCUGAUUGGCAGGAUGGUCGGUCAUUAUGAUCGGGGAAUUUGAAACAAAAUAUAUUCUCCAAUGCACCUGUCCUCAUCUGUUUGUAUUGUGACUCCAACCCCAGUAUGUUGCUGCCGAUGUAAUUCACAGUGUUGUGUGUACAGUACCUUAUACCUUUUCUCUUCUCAGGUGUCAUCAUGUCUAGGGUGCCGAUGGGCAAGGUGCUGCUGCGAAAUGUUAUUCGUCACACAGAUGCCCACAACAGGGUGAGAGUGGGAGAGCUAGCUUAAUGUGUGUGUGUGUAGCUGUGUUCUCUCCUCAUGAUAGAUGUGGUCUGUUUCAGAUCCAGGAGGAGUCGGAGAUGUGGAAGUUGAGGGGGAUGGAGAAGGGGCCAUUCACCAGCCACAGAUCGAUGCCACGAGCCUUAAAUCCAUCCAGGAGUCACAUGCACUGUGAUCGUGUGGAGGAUGGGUCUGUAGACAGACUGGGAGACUGGCUGCGGGGAAGAGAACACCAUUCCAGCCAGGACAAGAGGGAGGCACGCUACUGGACCAAGAAACUCUGACUUUGAGGCCAAUGAUUCAGACAGAUGGGGACACAGAGGUUUUAAGGAGCUAUACCCCGAGGAGUUUAAAAGUGACUGGGAUAGAGACCGUGGUGAUGAUCAGAAUGGGCAUUGGAGAAAGAAAACGUCCAGACUUAAAACAGCCAAAUCAAAACAUCUGAACAAGUCCUCCAAGAAGAAGAAAAGCGAAGGAUAGGUGAGUCAGACGGUGAGUCAGACGGUGAGUCAGACGGUGAGUCAGACGGUGAGUCAGACGGUGAGUCAGACGGUGAGUCAGACGGUGAGUCAGACGGUGAGUCAGACGGUGAGUCAGACGGUGAGUCAGACGGUGAGUCAGACGGUGAGUCCAGCAGCGACAAGAGCGACGGUGUCAAACAGGAACAGAAGAGGAAAAGCAGCAAGAGCAAACAGAAGAGGAAGAAGAGGGGGGACAGAGAGGAGGAGGAGGAUGAGUGAGGAGGAGGAAAUGAUAGAUGGACUCCCACAGAGACUCAGGACCAGAGUCACACAAGAAGAGGAAGAAAAACUGGAAAGCAGGAGAGAACAAAUCGGAGGACAGUUCUGAGAAUUGAACCUUUUUCCAUUGGCAGCCAGUAACCUGUACCCUCAUACUGCCCCCUUUCAGUUGCUGAAAGUGAGUGGGCAAAGCUUUCACAGUUACACCCCACUUCCACUUUAGUGUCCAAUGUUUCCCACUAGAUUUGUUGAGAACACGGCAUCACCAUAGCUAAUUGCUAGACAUGUUUGUGAUUUAUCCAAUAACAAGACAACUGAGGAAUUGGCUAAAGUACAAAUUCAACUUUUGAACAGACCUACUGGCAGGGGAAAGCAUAUCGCUCUUCCCUUAACAUCUUCCCUCUGCAAUACUCUUCUGUGCUGUACUUCUCUUUCUGUGUACAGCUGAGCACAAACCUGUGUUCUCCCCUAAGGGCAUUCAGCAGUACCUCACCUUCUGUUACUGGUGCUGCUCAAGCUGCAGUGCUCAGAUAGUGAGCUGACACUGCACAAAUAUGGACUAAACUAAAGCCACCUAAUUCCACCUCAUGACAAGUUGAUUGACUGCUGAGCCUUGUCUCAUAGUUAGUGUCCUGGCUUGACGUUAGCUGUUAUACUAUGGAAAAUUAUGACAUUUUAUGCAGAUUUCCCAGCCAAUUGUGACAAUCUUUUAUGCUUUUUUAAAAUUCAGUAUUUAUUUUAAAAACGUUUGAUUUAUGGGAGUCGGGAUUUAACAGAAUGUCAGGUGGGACAUUGAAAAAUAAAAUGGUUAUCACACCAUACUUUUAGACAGGAAGAACAAAUCACAUGGAUCUCAUGUUAUGACUGCAGGAUAUCUACAUGGCUAUCAUUCACAAGUCUUCUCAGUAGGCCUAUAGCCUUUCUAUUUCAUGAGCAUGAAUUUGACUCUUCAUGCAUCAAAUUCUAUGAAAUAUUGCCCCUUGGGUUGAAUACGUCCAGAACUGGGUACCAUUCACCAUAUAACAUUGUAUAAAUGGUGUAUGGUUUCCCUCUAGUGUUAAGUUUCUACAGUACUCGCUGUAGAUUUAAUGUGCAAGAAAACGGAAUAGGUCAGCACUGAAUGAGAAUUUCUACAUCAUUAUAUAAACUCCUUUCAAGAGAGCUGCUGAAAAAGUUGCUGUCGUCUAAAACAGGUUUGAGCGGCAUAGUUUUAUUCUGACGUAGAGAGCAGGCCACUGCUAUAUGGUAUCUUUUCAAGUUCAUGCUUUUCUCCUUAAUGAUCAUCACGCUGUACAAGGUUAAUGUAUUAUUUAGUGGAAGGGCUAGGCCUACAGGGUCUAAUAUCCUGUUAUCUACGGUGUGUUGUCUCCACCUAGUGGCUCAAUCAGUGUAGUAGACCCUGAGGAUUGAUUAACUCAUGGCCUCUAUUGACUUCAUCAGAAUAUAUAGUUUAUUUGUGACAAAUAAAGGAGUAUUGUUUCUGA